AGGGACAUGUUCGUUCCUCCAAGGGGGAAAUAACUACUGGCUCGAAAAGAAGAAACAAUUAAAGUUGAUUCUUUUAAAAGGCAGACAUGUAAAUCAUGAGUACACCGCGUGCAGCCAACACUUGUGAAUUUGAAAAUGUUUUUUUUCCCCCACCCCUUCAUUAUUUGAAAUAGUGGACAGGAAGGCAACAGUUCUUGAGACAUCCAGUGGAAGAUGAUAGCACUUAGUAAGCAUACAAUUAGGUUGCUCUGAUGUCAUCGCUCAAAGUCCCGACGGCUUUCAGGUGAUGGAUGUCCCGCUUGUUACCUCCACGCUGAACGGCUGCUCCUCUCCGUUCACGGCACAUAAAAUCCACAGCAACAACUGAAGGCAUAUCGUCCCCAUCCAGCAGCGAUCGAGACAUCUCUUGCUGCUGCGCACCGCCAAUAAAACCAUAGUGAGCGCC